ensembl:miRNA cin-mir-4122 cin-mir-4122
UGUUUCAAAUGGACUUCAUGGAAAUGUUUCAUAACAUUAAUUAUGAUCUAAGUUUGUUUGAAGCA